CCUACGGGAGGCAGCAGUGAGGAAUAUUGGUCAAUGGACGAGAGUCUGAACCAGCCAAGUAGCGUGAAGGAUGACUGCCCUAUGGGUUGUAAACUUCUUUUAUAUGGGAAUAAAAUGUUCCACGUGUGGGAUUUUGUAUGUACCAUAUGAAUAAGGAUCGGCUAACUCCGUGCCAGCAGCCGCGGUAAUACGGAGGAUCCGAGCGUUAUCUGGAUUUAUUGGGUUUAAAGGGAGCGUAGGUGGAUUGUUAAGUCAGUUGUGAAAGUUUGCGGCUCAACCGUAAAAUUGCAGUUGAAACUGGCAGUCUUGAGUACAGUAGAGGUGGGCGGAAUGCGUGGUGUAGCGGUGAAAUGCUUAGAUAUCACGAAGAACUCCGAUUGCGAAGGCAGUUCACUGGACUGCAACUGACACUGAGGCUCGAAAGUGUGGGUAUCAAACAGGAUUAGAUACCCUUGUAGUC
rnacentral:rRNA from 1 species